GAUGAACGCUGGCGGCGUGCCUAAUACAUGCAAGUCGAGCGAAUGGAUUAAGAGCUUGCUCUUAUGAAGUUAGCGGCGGACGGGUGAGUAACACGUGGGUAACCUGCCCAUAAGACUGGGAUAACUCCGGGAAACCGGGGCUACUACCGGAUAACCUUUUGAACCGCAUGGUUCGAAAUUGAAAGUCGGCUUCGGCUGUCACUUAUGGAUGGACCCGGGUCGCAUUAGCUAGUUGGUGAGGUAACGGCUCACCAAGGCAACGAUGAGUAGCCGACGUGAGAGGGUGAUCGGACACACUGGGACUGAGACACGGCCCAGACUCCUACGGGAGGCAGCAGUAGGGAAUCUUCCGCAAUGGACGAAAGUCUGACGGAGCAACGCCGCGUAAAUGAUGAAGGCUUUCGGGUCGUAAAACUCUGUUGUUAGGGAAGAACAGGUGCUAGUUGAAUAAGCUGGCACCUUGACGGUACCUAACCAGAAAGCCACGGCUAACUACGUGCCAGCCGCCGCAGUAA
rnacentral:rRNA from 1 species